AACGAACGCUGGCGGCAGGCCUAACACAUGCAAGUCGAGCGAGACCUUCGGGUCUAGCGGCGGACGGGGGAGUAACGCGUGGGAACGUGCCCUUUUCUGCGGAAUAGCCUCGGGAAACUGAGCGUAAUACCGCAUACGCCCUUAGGGGGAAAGAUUUAUCGGAAAAGGAUCGGCCCGCGUUGGAUUAGGUAGUUGGUGGGGUAAUGGCCUACCAAGCCUACGAUCCAUAGCUGGUUUGAGAGGAUGAUCAGCCACACUGGGACUGAGACACGGCCCAGACUCCUACGGGAGGCAGCAGUGGGGAAUCUUAGACAAUGGGGGCAAACCUGAUCUAGCCAUGCCGCGUGAGUGAUGAAGGCCUUAGGGUUGUAAAGCUCUUUCAGCUGGGAAGAUAAUGACGGUACCAGCAGAAGAAGCCCCGGCUAACUCCGUG
rnacentral:rRNA from 1 species